UAAGGGAAUCUUCCACAACGGCGCAAGCCUGAUGGAGCAACACCGCGUGAGUGAAGAAGGGUUUCGGCUCGUAAAGCUCUGUUGUUAAAGAAGAACACGUAUGAGAGUAACUGUUCAUACGUUGACGGUAUUUAACCAGAAAGUCACGGCUAACUACGUGUCA
rnacentral:rRNA from 1 species